rnacentral:rRNA from 1 species
GAACUGAGGGGGGCUGCUCCUAGUACGAGAGGACCGGAGUGGACGCAUCACUGGUGUUCGGGUUGUCAUGCCAAUGGCACUGCCCGGUAGCUAAAUGCGGAAGAGAUAAGUGCUGAAAGCAUCUAAGCACGAAACUUGCCCCGAGAUGAGUUCUCCCUGACCCUUUAAGGGUCCUGAAGGAACGUUGAAGACGACGACGUUGAUAGGCCGGGUGUGUAAGCGCAGCGAUGCGUUGAGCUAACCGGUACUAAUGAACCGUGAGGCUUAACCUUACAACGCCGAAG